rnacentral:rRNA from 1 species
UACGAAGGGGGCUAGCGUUGCUCGGAAUCACUGGGCGUAAAGCGCACGUAGGCGGAUUGCUAAGUCAGGGGUGAAAUCCUGGAGCUCAACUCCAGAACUGCCUUUGAUACUGGCGAUCUCGAGUCCGGGGAGAGGUGAGUGGAACUGCGAGUGUAGAGGUGAAAUUCGUAGAUAUUCGCAAGAACACCAGUGGCGAAGGCGGCUCACUGGCCCGGUACUGACGCUGAGGUGCGAAAGCGUGGGGGAGCAA